rnacentral:lncRNA from 1 species
UCGAAUACAACAUUGCAGUUUUGUUAAAAACUUCAUUUUGCAACCUUUUUUAUGCAUGUUUGGCAUAUGGAAACCCUUUUAAGGUGCAUGCUAAGUUGAAAGGUUAUUUUGUGCAUUUAAAAACUUAAAUGUUAUGUGUUAAUUGUUAAUUUCGGUUGGUGACCCUUUACAACUAUUGUGGAAAUCUGGGCUUUGCCCUCAGAUGAGAACCAGAACCAUCCUAUCGGUCAGUACCCUGUGGAUGGGAAUGUAGUUGGACACACCUGACUGGAGCUGUGUUAGGAGGAUCUUGCGGGGCGCAUGAAGAUCACUCGGGAUGUAUAGUUUUUGUAGAAUGAUCAGAUUAGGUUGACGUAUAUGGACUAGAUGUCUUUCUUUUUGGGUUGGGUUUAUUUUAAUUUGGAAGAAUGUACUUAUACCAAUAUUGUUAGCUUGACAUUUUAUUUUGAUGGGUUCCAUGUACCACUUUUUGAUGUGAUGUGGGGAGUUAAAAUUCUUGGGGCAGUGCUUUUGUACAAGUGUCUGCCGAGAAUACCAUAGGGGUAUGAGCUAUGUCUGAUAGACCUCAUAGCCCAAUGCAUUUUGAUGUUUGAAUACCUUGGAUUGUGAUUUCAAAAACUAUUCCGCUGCUUGUAAA